rnacentral:miRNA from 2 species
CGGGGUUUUGGGGGCAAGAUGA